rnacentral:rRNA from 1 species
GUGGCGCCGUGCCGGCCAUCCCGCGGCUCGGCGGAUGGAUAAGGCCACCCCCUGUGUGCCCUCUCCACGUUGGUGAAACCCUAGCCUCACAAUCCCCUGCCCAUGCUCGUUCCCCCCUCCUCGCUCACAACCGAGCGCGGUCCUCUCCGUGCCGCCGUCGAUCCCGCGGACACCGUGUUCCACGGGCCUCGCGAGGGUGUCCAGCAACUGCGCCACCGUCACCUACAUCAUCUGCGAGGAGCGAUUCAUGCUGGAGCGCUCUACAUCACACCCUUCGUCAUCGUCUUCUUCUUCGGCAGCCACGCGACGUCGCCGUUGAUUCGCAGCACCUCGAUCCCCUCCGACUGCCCCGAGCCCUCCACGAGCAUCCUUACUCCGAGACCGCUGUCGAUGUCCGUGUGUUCGACUACAUUGAAGAUGACCCCUCCUUGCCAAAGCAACCAGACGAUGGAGUCCAGGAGCCAGAUGCCAUCGUCGACAAUGACUCCUACUACACAGGAGGUGCCUACUACUACGUGCAGGCCGCUGACGACGACCAAGAGUAUUUUAGGAGGAUCCCAGGCAGGAGGCUUGCGCCUUUUUCGAUCUGUAUCCCAGUUUGUGCUAGCCUUCUUAAGGCAAACUUGUUUACUUAUGUCUGUACUCAGAUAUUGUUGCUUUCGCUGACUCGUCUAUGAUCGAGCUCUUGUAUUCGAGCCCUCGAGGCCCCUGGCUUGUAAUAUGAUGCUUGUAUAACUUAUUUUUAUUUGUAGAGUUGUGUUGCGAUAUCUUCCCGUGAG